rnacentral:lncRNA from 1 species
CAAAAUCAGCUAGAACCAAGGUUUUCACAAUAUAAUUUCAGCCUAGUAUUGAGACUAAUCCUAGCACCAAUCGUUUGGAUCAUAUCUUGUCCCAAACUUGCAUUAAUGUCCCUCCCUUGAAAGAUACAAAUGUUUCUCAUAUUCCAAAUUGAAUAUAUUGUUUUAGCUACAACCCCUUCAACAACUUGCACCACAUGCUCUUCUCCUUUGAUUGUUUAAUAAUCCAAUUCAGUUCUUCCUCCCAGCCCCCAAGUCUAUGGUUAUGUCUCAGCCACUUUAGAACACACUGCCAUAUAGUUGUAGAAAUGGGACAUAUGAAGAAGAGGUGUUCAACACUUUCAUCUAAGCCACAGAGAGCACAAAAGCCAUAUGUUGUAGUGCCAUAUUUAAGUAACCUAUCUCUCAUCAAGAGUGUUUGUUGACAGCCCAACCAUAGGAUAAACUUAGCCCUAGGUCGUGCAAUGUUGCCAUAGAAAAGAUUCCUCCAGAUAACCUUGUCUUUAGGACCUCGAAUUUCCUUAUACAUUGUUUUGGUUCUGAAUUUAUUAGUUGAAUUAGCAUCAAUCCAACUCAGAGUUGGCAUAGUCAUGGUCCUGCAAUUCAGCAUAGCCUUGAAAAUCCAGGAACAAUUAGUGCUUGGUUGGAGCUUUGAGAUUUCAGCACCCUUCAAGUAAUAGGUAUGAAUUUAUUUCACCCAUAGUUUAUCGAAUUUUGAGGCAAGAUUCAUAAUAAUUUAGCCACAGUGGCCUUGUUCCAAUCUACCAGAGCUAUGAGGUUCAAACCAUCAGCCUGUUUUGGGUUACAUAAAUGCUCCCAAGACACAGGUGCUUUCCUAUAACCAUCUUCUUUCCCAAUCCAUAAGAAUGUUCUACAUUUGGCUUUAAGAUGUUUUAGAACCUAUUUUGGUAUGGGGAAAACCUGCAUCCAAUAAUUAGUGAUGGAGAACAUAACACUUCUUAUCAGUUGGAGCCUUCCUACAUAACUAAGUAGUCUAGUGCUCCUAUAGAUCAUCAUGCUAGUGAUUCUCUCAAUUAGUGGGGAUCAGAGGUCCACAAUAAGCUUUUUACUAGCAAGAGGAACCCCAAGGUAUUUAAAUGGUAGGGAUCCUAUAUUGAAUCUAGUAGUUUGAAAGAUGUUAUCUUGGGUUUGGUUGUCUACUCCUCCCAAGUAGACUUUACACUUAGCAUGGCUAGCCUUUAAGCCUGUGCUAUUUGAGAAUUCAUUGAAUUUAUCCAUGAUCAGUGCAACAUAAUUGUGGCCUCCUCUAGUAAAUAGGAGGAGGUCAUCAACAAAACAUAUGUUUGUAAUUUCCAGCUGCUCACAUUUAGGGUGGAAGUUGAAAUCAUGGACAUAUUUCAGUUCUUUGAUCACCCUAUGCACGUAUUUCAUGACCAAGACAAACAACAUGGGUGAGAUGGGGUCACCCUGUAUCAAGCCUCUCUUAGCAUUGAGUAUUUUAGAAGGUGAGCCAUUCACUGAGUAUCUACAGGACACAGUUCUUACACAAAGCAUAGUCCAUAUGAUAAAUUGUUUAUGAAACCCAAGCUCCAUUAGUAUACUUAUUAGUGCAUCCCAUUCCAGUGUAUCAUAUGUCUUAUGAAUGUCCAUUUUUAUCAUGCAUCUAGGGGAGAUUCCCUUCCUGCCAUACCCUCUCACCAAUUGCUAUGCCAAGAUGAUGUUGUCAUGUAUGACUCUACCAGGAACAAAAGCUGAUUAGCUAUCAUCACCCACAUGACCAAUAACUCUGCCCAACCUUUUUGUAAGAAUAUUUGAGAUGAUCUUAUAGAUGGUAGUGCAGCAAAUAAUUGGCCUCAUGUCCUUCGAUGUACUAGCAUCAUUGAAUUUUGGCAAAAUAGUCACUAGAGUGCAGUUGCAGCAGGGUGUAGUGUUUCAUCUUGGAAGAAUUCAUUCAUAGCCCUAAGAACAUCAUAUUUCACUAUGCCCCAAGUUGCUUUAAAAAAUUGGGAGCUAUAUCCAUCAAUGCCAAGAGCCUUGUUAUCACCAAUGUUUUAAAGUGCCUCCCAAACCUCUUUUUCAUUUACCCUUUGAAUUAGAUUUCUGGCCAUUUCUCUGUUGAUAGAGUUACCAUUUCUCAAAGCAAUUAGAUUCACCCCUGUUUUGUGAGUAGUGGUUGUACCAACCAAAUUUUAGUUGAAGGCUAAAACUUCAUAUUCUAUCUCUCCCUGAGUAUAAACUACUUUAUCUUUUGCAGUUGUCAGUUUAACAAGGCCUUUCUUCCUUGAUUUGUCUUUCACAGUUGCAUGGAAAAAGGAGUUGUUGCCAUCUCCAAGUUGUAACUAGUUGACCUUGGAUUUCUGUUUCAACAUCUCUUCUUCUGUCUUGUGAAGAUUCAUUAAAUUAUCAGUGAAUAAUUUCACAUUCUGAAGCAGAGUGGUGUUGAAUUUAUCCUAUUGUAACUGCUAUUGAGCAUUAGUUAUGUAACACCAUGUUUUUCAGAGCACUUUUAAUUAAGUAAUUAGUAUUAAUGAAUUAAUUAUAGAAAUUAAUCAGUAACGUUUUAGGCUAAACCUCAGUUGAGUUUUAGUCUUGUAUUAUAAUUUUCUUGUUUUCCCUAUUUUCUCAAGAUUUUUGGAGAAUAAAAGUUUCCGAGACGAUUUUGGGUCGUUUUAUCGAGUUUUCGCCAAGUUUCGAAAUGUUAUUUCUUGUCAAAAUAGACACCAAGUUUGUCCAUAAUGUAUCUCUAGAUAUUUUUCACCUCGAAAUUCAAGUUUCGACGUUUCGGGCAAAUGUCCUAAAUCAGGAGAUUUUAUAUUUCCGGACGAAAUUAUCCGAAAAUGUUCGGACACGACGUUUAUCGGGAAAUUACAUCAUAUCAAUAAAGUUGGAAGUCAUCAUUUCAUGAGUCACUUACUUGUUACACAAGUAAUGCAAAAGCUUCCAAAACCCCCUAAAUCACUCAACAAAUCCUCUCACUCCACCACCUUUAGACACAUCACCUAUGCUAGUCUAAAUUUACUUACUCUGCAUUAAAUUUUCUGAUUUGAUGAGGGUAAGACUCUCCUAUAAAUAGUUCAACCCAUUCUCUCAUUUUUACACUAAAUUCCCUAUACAAACUAAGGUAGUCUUUUAUUUUGUUUUCUUCAUAUUCUUCUCAUACUUCAUAGAAAGUUAUGAGCUUUUAUUAUGUUGUUCAUAAAGUAGAAUUUAUAUUUGUUCUUUAGUAUUUUAUGAAGGCAUAAUUAAAGGGGAUGAUAAAAAAUCAUAUGAACUUUUAUGUAGUUUUUGACUUUUGUAAAUCUUGAAAUUUCUUCCUUGUUCUUAGAUGGAAAAACUAUAUCUUUGGACAAGGUUAGAUGAGUUAUUUGUUUGGANNNNNNNNNNNNNNNNNNNNNNNNNNNNNNNNNNNNNNNNNNNNNNNNNNNNNNNNNNNNNNNNNNNNNNNNNNNNNNNNNNNNNNNNNNNNNNNNNNNNAUUUGAAUAUGUUUAAAUGUGAUGAUUUUAACAUCAAAUGAACCUUUAAUGUGUUUAGGAAAAAGUUUGUAUUUUAUUCUUGAAAGUUUAUGAUGUUGAUGAGUUGUUGUUGAAAAUGUUUCAUUUUUAGAAAGUAUUAUGUUUUAAAAGUAGUUUAACAUAUUUUAAUCAUUGAUUUCCAAGUUAAAAUAAUGAUUUGGGAUAAAAGAUGAUUUAUUAAAGUCUUGAUUUCAUAAACUUAAAGUGUUAUGAAGUUUUGGAUAUUACCGGGAUAAAAGAAUGACUUUGAAAUUAACACUUACUAACCCUUGAGGGCUUUCCUAAAAAAUUAGGAGGUGUUAAGAUGUUCAUAAAAAAAUUGUUGUAUUUAUUUUNAAGUGGUAAGAAUAACUAAAAGAUGUUUAGUGUAAAAUAUUAAAUUAAGAGUCAUUCUUUUUCAUGAAUAUGAAAAUAACACUUACUAACCCUUGAGGUUUUUUCCUAAAAAAAUAGGAGGUGUUAAGAUGUUCAUAAAAAUUUGUUUUAGUAGUAUAUUUGAAAUAAUGAGAUUUACCUAAAAUUCUUGACUUUAUAAACUUAAAGUGUUAUGAAGUCUUAGAUGAUAAAAUGAUUUAAAAAUGUUGAAUCUUAGUUAACUGAACUUACUUUAAAAUGNNNNNNNNNNNNNNNNNNNNNNNNNNNNNNNNNNNNNNNNNNNNNNNNNNNNNNNNNNNNNNNNNNNNNNNNNNNNNNNNNNNNNNNNNNNNNNNNNNNNACAUGUCUAGAAAUGUUCUGUCUAAGGAAAGACUUGGUAUUUAAGGGUGUCUUCACGACCCAGCUCUAUUUCCUGGGAACUAGCCUGGUGUAUAUCCAUGGAUUACGACAUAAUUCCGGUAUAAGUUUUAUUGAAAAUCUUAAUUUAAAAAGUGUUAUUCGAUUGUAAGACUUUCAAUGACAAAUGAUGAUUCAAGGAUAUUCAANNNNNNNNNNNNNNNNNNNNNNNNNNNNNNNNNNNNNNNNNNNNNNNNNNNNNNNNNNNNNNNNNNNNNNNNNNNNNNNNNNNNNNNNNNNNNNNNNNNNUAUUUCGUAAGUAUAAUAAUUAUCGUCAGUUAACUAAUUAACAUUAUUUUGGCAUAAUGAAUAGUUCGAGAGGAGAUCGGAUCAAGUAAGCUCACCUGCAAACAGAGAACCUAGUGACCCGACACACUCAGGUGAGGGAGAAAACAUCAUGACAUAAUGGUGUCCGAAUAUGCAUAAGGACCUCCAAACUCCUUCACAAGUUUGGAGUUGUCUUGGGUAUUAAGAAAGCUUGUACUUAAUCAAUUGCAACCAAUUUAUGUUAUGUUUAUAUAUGCAAAUACCAUGUUUACUUUUGAAUUAUAAUGUUUGAAUGAUUAUUAUGGGAAUGAUAUGUUUGUGAUAAUUGUUAAAUUCAAGGUUUAAAAACAUGUGAUAUAAAUGAGAAAUAUUUAUCUUGAGAAAAGUAAUUAAAAUGAUAUUCAGGUUCUUCUCGCUUGAGCAAGACAGCUGUCGCUUGAUCGAGAAGUGUCUAGAUAAUACGAGUGUUUUAGCUCAGGGCGAGACAGCUCUCGCUUGAGCUACAAUAGGCACCAAGAAAACUUAUUGUUUUCUCGCUUAAGCGAGACAACUCUCGCUUAAGCCACAAAUGCCUCAAAAAUGGAUGUGCCCUCGCUUGAGCGAGAGGGCUCCAUAUAGACAUGACUUCUUUUUAAGUCGCCUGAAUGAUAACUCUCAUAUAUACGAGAGCCUAAUGGCAUAUUUGCCAUCAAGAAGUUGUAAAGGUAAAUAACUAUAUGAAAUUCUUGAAAGUAAUAAAUGUAUGGAAUUGCUUUGUUAAAGGCAAGGCCCGAGGGUGUGAUAUGAUGCCCACGCAGCGAUAUCGUUUGACCAUAAGAGGCUUGACUAGAGGAGUCGUCCAGGAUGAUUCAACGAUGGUUCGUAGUGGUACUGAGAAGUAUUAUGUUGUGCCCAUGCAGCGAGAUCGUCUAACCAUAACAAGCUUGGCGUGAGAGCCGUCUAGGAUAAUUCAGUGAUGGGUCGUAGUUGUGCCAAUAUUAUUCUCUUUUUGUUUAUAUGUUAAGAUCGGGACCCACUAGAAGCAUUCCCGAUGGGAGAUNAUGGGCAAAUCUCUAGAAAAGAUGGAUUAAAAGACAUAAUUUGCUAAUUUCGGUUAUGGUGCAUAUCCAUGGUAAAAAAUGAAGUAGUGGAGAGGAAAUUUACGGGAGACGAAUGAGCCCCGAGAUGAUGAGAGGGACAACGUUGAUGGUGGUGAUUCGUCAAUAAAGUCUUGAAGGAGAGUCUAGGUGAGACGAGUCCCAUGUAUUCCUGGAUGAGGUAUUAUGUUGGAUCGAACAGUGCUCACAGCGCAAACUAGACGAUCUCUAACAACCCCUCUUUGCAAUCAAGAUCGAUGAGAGGGAUACUCAGAAAGUGUUUGAUACGACACCAUCCUGAAAUGGACAGUUUCGUUGGAACAGAUCGAUCAUAUAUCCUUGCAAGGAAUAAUUUUGGUGCGAUCAAAUCGCCUUGUUAUGGGAAGUGUACUCUCGGUUAUUUCCGAAUAGUUAUUGGGAGGAUUAAGGAGUAAGGAUGGUGGACUCAUGCAUCACAUUGCAUACAUGAUAUUCGUCGAUAUUGAUUCUAAAUUCUCGAGUUUUAUACUUCAUUCAUCGUUAUUAUAUGCUUGUAUGAUCACAUGAUAUAUAUGUACCAUACAUGAUAUUCUUCGAUAUUGAUUCUAAAUUCUCGAGUUUUAUACUUCAUUCAUCGUUAUUAUAUGCUUGUAUGAUCACAUGAUAUAUAUGUACUCGUGUGUUGUCUUGGUGUAUUAUUCCGUGUAAUUCCACGAUGUUGAUGACAAGUUUUUCAUACAUGUUUUACUCCCUCUCUUUUCUUCCGGUGUAUUUGUAUGCAUGUUCAGAUGGACCCAUCAGCACUGAUUUGAGGUUAUCGCUUCACUAUGUCCCAGGAGGGUACAUGGAGUGUUGAGGGUAAUCGACACACUUAUACAUGUCCUUGCGACCUAGAGCUGGAUUGGGUAAGCAAUGACUCAGUUCUACACCUUCCACCUUACUACGCAGUUCUGGAGGCAUCAUUCACUUUGCCCGACUGAAGACCUGCAACCGCCAGACUUUGUGUACCGGCUGAAGCUCGAGGGGUACUAGUAGUUGUUAGGACCUGGCCCCAAACAAGAUUCUCAUCAUCAGGAUCAGCGCCAAGAAAGACAGACGGGGCCAUGCCAAGGGGGUACACCUCGGAACCCUCGAUGGAUUGGGGAGCGGAUGAAGUGGAGGAGGAAGACAACAACGACUGUGUAGAGCUUAUCUGCGUAGAAGAUUCGGUUGAGGUCAUUGAGAUCUCUUCUGACUCGGAGGUGGAGGAAGACCCUAACGAGGC